rnacentral:rRNA from 1 species
GUAACGCGUGGGUAACCUGCCUUAUACAGGGGGAUAACAGUCAGAAAUGACUGCUAAUACCGCAUAAGCGCACAGGACCGCAUGGUCCGGUGUGAAAAACUCCGGUGGUAUAAGAUGGACCCGCGUUGGAUUAGCUAGUUGGUGAGGUAACGGCCCACCAAGGCGACGAUCCAUAGCCGGCCUGAGAGGGUGAACGGCCACAUUGGGACUGAGACACGGCCCAGACUCCUACGGGAGGCAGCAGUGGGGAAUAUUGCACAAUGGGGGAAACCCUGAUGCAGCGACGCCGCGUGAAGGAAGAAGUAUCUCGGUAUGUAAACUUCUAUCAGCAGGGAAGAAAAUGACGGUACCUGACUAAGAAGCCCCGGCUAACUACGUGCCAGCAGCCGCGGUAAUACGUAGGGGGCAAGCGUUAUCCGGAUUUACUGGGUGUAAAGGGAGCGUAGACGGAUGGACAAGUCUGAUGUGAAAGGCUGGGGCUCAACCCCGGGACUGCAUUGGAAACUGCCCGUCUUGAGUGCCGGAGAGGUAAGCGGAAUUCCUAGUGUAGCGGUGAAAUGCGUAGAUAUUAGGAGGAAC